UAUAUCCUUCAGGGCGGGGUGUAAUUCCCCACCGGCGGUAAAGUCCGCGAGCUACUUGUAGCAUGAUUCGGUGAAACUCCGAAACCGACAGUUAAAGUCUGGAUGAAAGAUAGGAUUAC
rfam:Clostridium sp. IEH 97212 scaffold_7, whole genome shotgun sequence.